UACGAAGGGGGCUAGCGUUGUUCGGAAUCACUGGGCGUAAAGGGCGCGUAGGCGGCUUUAUAAGUCGGGGGGUGAAAGCCUGUGGCUCAACCACAGAAUUGCCUUCGAUACUGUAGAGCUUGAGACCGGAAGAGGUAAGUGGAACUGCGAGUGUAGAGGUGAAAUUCGUAGAUAUUCGCAAGAACACCAGUGGCGAAAGCGGCUUCCUGGUCCAGCACCGACGUUCAGGCACGAAAGCGUGGGGAGCAAACAGG
rnacentral:rRNA from 1 species